rnacentral:rRNA from 1 species
UACAGAGGUCUCAAGCGUUGUUCGGAUUCAUUGGGCGUAAAGGGUGCGUAGGCGGCGCGGUAAGUUGGGUGUGAAAUCUUGGAGCUUAACUCCGAAACUGCAUUCGAUACUGCCGUGCUUGAGGACUGGAGAGGAGACUGGAAUUUACGGUGUAGCGGUGAAAUGCGUAGAUAUCGUAAGGAAGACCAGUGGCGAAGGCGGGUCUCUGGACAGUUCCUGACGCUGAAGCACGAAGGCCAGGGGAGCAAACGGG